rnacentral:rRNA from 1 species
GAUGAACGCUGGCGGCGUGCUUAACACAUGCCAGUCGAACGGAAAGGCUCCUGCUUGCAGGGGUACUCGAGUGGCGAAAGGGUGAGUAACACGUGGGUGAUCUGCCCUGCACUUCGGGAUAAGCCUGGGAAACUGGGUCUAAUACCGGAUAGGACGAUGGUUUGGAUGCCAUUGUGGAAAGUUUUUCGGUGUGGGAUGAGCUCGCGGCCUAUCAGCUUGUUGGUGGGGUAAUGGCCUACCAAGGCGUCGACGGGUAGCCGGCCUGAGGGGGUGUACGGCCACAUUGGGACUGAGAUACGGCCCAGACUCCUACGGGAGGCAGCAGUGGGGAAUAUUGCACAAUGGGCGCAAGCCUGAUGCAGCGACGCCGCGUGGGGGAUGACGGCCUUCGGGUUGUAAACUCCUUUCGCUAGGGACGAAGCGCAAGUGACGGUACCUGGAGAAGAAGCACCGGCUAACUACGUG